AAUGAACGCUGGCGGUAGGCCUAACACAUGCGAGUCGAACGGCAGCACAGUAAGAGCUUGCUCUUACGGGUGGCGAGUGGCGGACGGGUGAGGAAUACAUCGGAAUCUACUUUUUCGUGGGGGAUAACGUAGGGAAACUUACGCUAAUACCGCAUACGACCUACGGGUGAAAGCAGGGGAUCUUCGGACCUUGCGCGAUUGAAUGAGCCGAUGUCGGAUUAGCUAGUUGGCGGGGUAAAGGCCCACCAAGGCGACGAUCCGUAGCUGGUCUGAGAGGAUGAUCAGCCACACUGGAACUGAGACACGGUCCAGACUCCUACGGGAGGCAGCAGUGGGGAAUAUUGGACAAUGGGCGCAAGCCUGAUCCAGCCAUACCGCGUGGGUGAAGAAGGUCUUCGGGUUGUAAAGCCCUUUUGUUGGGAAAGAAAAGCAGCAGGUUAAUACCCCGCUGUUCUGACGGUACCCAAAGAAUAAGCACCGGCUAACUUCGUG
rnacentral:rRNA from 1 species